rnacentral:rRNA from 1 species
UACAGAGGUCUCAAGCGUUGUUCGGAUUCAUUGGGCGUAAAGGGUGCGUAGGUGGCCAGGUAAGUCGGAAUGUGAAAUCCCGGGGCUCAACCCCGGAACUGCAUUCGAUACUGCCCGGCUCGAGUACUGGAGAGGAGAUUGGAAUUUACGGUGUAGCAGUGAAAUGCGUAGAUAUCGUAAGGAAGACCAGUGACGAAGGCGGAUCUCUGGACAGUUACUGAC